UACAGGGGGUGCAGACGUUGCUCGGAAUCAUUGGGCGUAAAGCGCGUGUAGGCGGCCCGGUAAGUCCGCUGUGAAAGUCGGGGGCUCAACCCUCGGAUGCCGGUGGAUACUGUCGGGCUCGAGUACGGAAGAGGCGAGUGGAAUUCCUGGUGUAGCGGUGAAAUGCGCAGAUAUCAGGAGGAACACCAAUUGCGAAGGCAGCUCGCUGGGACGUUACUGACGCUGAGACGCGAAAGCGUGGGGAGCAAACAGG
rnacentral:rRNA from 1 species